GGGGCUGUUCCCUUUCGUGGCACCCUCAGAGCAGCGGUUCCGCACCGUUUUGGGAAGGUAUGAGGUGAUGCCUUCGGAAAAAGUCUUCGGCCCCGAGAAGAGGAGCGAGGGAGGUUUUUUUCCUGCCGGGUAACAGUGCAGAGGUGGAGGGAGGAGCUGCCGAGGAGCCCGGAAUCAGCAAUAUCCAGCAAAACAGUGGAACUGCCUCAGCGUUUCCCAGCCUUACCCCAGGCAGAUCGAGAUUGUGUUGCAAUUAUGGGGGAAGAUCUAUAUUUAUAGUGUGGAAGGAAUUUGUACAGAAGCCACAGUUGUCUCUGCCUGGCAUGACAUUUUCAUUCUGCACUAAUGUUGUGUAACCUUCUGGUAAGUAAAACAGGCACAAAGUAUAUUUGGGCAUCCUACAGACAAAGCUACAGGUCUUUCUUUGUUGUUUGAAAUAUGGUAACAGUUGC
rnacentral:lncRNA from 1 species